UACGGAGGGAGCUAGCGUUAUUCGGAAUUACUGGGCGUAAAGCGCACGUAGGCGGCUUUGUAAGUAAGAGGUGAAAGCCUGGAGCUCAACUCCAGAACUGCCUUUUAGACUGCAUCGCUUGAAUCCAGGAGAGGUGAGUGGAAUUCCGAGUGUAGAGGUGAAAUUCGUAGAUAUUAGGAAGAACACCGGUGGCGAAGGCGGCCCACUGGUCCGGUACUGACGCUGAGGUGCGAAAGCGUGGGGAGCAAACAGG
rnacentral:rRNA from 1 species